UACGAAGGGGGCGAGCGUUGUUCGGAUUUACUGGGCGUAAAGGGCGCGCAGGCGGCGCAUUUUGUCAGGCGUGAAAGCCCCGGGCUUAACCUGGGAACUGCGUUUGAUACGGAUGGGCUAGGGUUCGGGAGAGGAGAGUGGAAUUCCCAGUGUAGAGGUGAAAUUCGUAGAUAUUGGGAAGAACACCGGUGGCGAAGGCGGCUCUCUGGACCGAGACUGACGCUGAGGCGCGAAAGCGUGGGGAGCGAACAGG
rnacentral:rRNA from 1 species